rnacentral:rRNA from 1 species
CUUCUACUGCACUCAUCAUCAUGCUGACUCUGGACAUUGCUCUCACUGCAUGCAUCACCAUGUGGACUGUCAGUGUUAUAAGGAGCAUUCUCAGUGAUAUUGGCGGUAAGUGGUGAUCUUGGAGACUGAUGAUCUGACACUGACUCUGGGAAUCUCAUCCACAGGUCCGAAUUCAGUACUCCUAGAAAAGGUAAUUACUAUUGCUUCCUCCAUGGGUCCGAAUUCAGUACUGAAGAAUCUGCUAAGGUAGGCUGCCAGAAACAAAUGCCAAAGGAAGUGUUAGAAGUACAUUCAUGUUCACUGUGUACCGAAAGCGGGAGACACCCAACAAAGAUUUUGGGAGUGCAGUCAUGCUUCUCCCAAUGAUCAUUAUAAGAAAUACCAUGUAAUCGUGUACAGAUAUAAGAAAUACCUUUCAUAAUAAUGGUCGUUGUCAUAAUCAUCGAAAUCAUCAUCAAGCAGCUCUUUGUGCCUUUCUUUUUUCAUCGCAUGGUUCUUUUCC